rnacentral:rRNA from 1 species
CGGCCUCGAAGGUCCGUCGGGAAAUCCAGCCGCCUAACGGCUGGGCGACCGGCGGAACCCACGAGGCUUGGGACCAGAAGACUCGAGGGGUACGUCCGGGGUAGGAGUGAAAUCCCGUAAUCCUGGACGGACCGCCGAUGGCGAAAGCACCUCGAGAGGAUGGCUCCGACGGUGAGGGACGAAAGCUGGGGUCUCGAACCGGAUUAGAUACCCGGGUAGUCCCAGCCGUAAACGAUGUUCGCUAGGUGCGUCGCCGACUACGAGUCGGCGAUGUGCCGCAGGGAAGCCGCUAAGCGAACCGCCUGGGAA